rnacentral:tRNA from 1 species
UCCCUAGUGGUCCAGUGGUUAGGACUAGACACUUUCACUGUCGUGGACCAGGUUCAAUCCCUGAUUGGAGAA